CCCGUAGUAUAGAUAGCGUUGAACAGUUCUACUAUUAUGUCCAGGUUUUUCUCGUUGACCAACUUUAUCAGCUCGCUAGGUAAUUCAUCUGCACCAGCAGAUUUAUUGGUUUUCAUAGAGUAUAUUGCCUGACUAACCUCUGAUUUGGUUAUCUCUGGGCCCACAUCUCCGGUUUGGCUAUCUACGGAUGUACUAGCUUCUCUAUGGUCAUGAAAUAGUUCCUAGAUGUAGUCUUUCCAUCGUCGUAUUUUCGUUCUGUCUCCAUUAUAAUAUUUCCAUUUUUGCCGAGCAAUAUAUUUGAGGUUCUUCUAUUUCCUAUUCCGGCUAGUGUUUUGACUUUUUUUAUGUAGGUUGAAGUUGAAGUUGUCAUAUCUGUUUUGCAGUUCUUCUAUUUCUUUACAUUUUUCAGAGAAGUAGGUUUCUUUAGCCUCACUAAUUUCUUGAAAACAUAUUACUCGAGGGUCUUUUGGGUCACUGAACACGAAUACACUAUCAGAACCGACCUCCGAAACAGCUGGUGUGCUGUAGUACAUAGCGGUAACUCAGAGCACUAGGUGCUCCUAGGGACAGUUCUGAUGUCAUAUUCGUGUUCAGCAAUCCCAAAACUUCCCGAGUAAUCUGUUUUCAUCAAUUUAUUGCCAAAACUCCAGAAGAUGACGUUCCUCAGUAGUGACCCUAGGCACCAGGUGAUCCCCAGGCAACCAAGUGACGACAAUAACGUCCAGGAAACGUCAGUUUUUGUUUGAAUAUAUACACAUGUUUGAACGUUACGUCAUAUAGACGUCUUUUUUAAAUGAUUUUAAAUACGCAAGAUUAAUGACGUUAAAAUACAUUUAAAAACACGUUUUCAUUUCAGACAGCCCAAGUCUGACGUCACAAAAUUGGGAGGAGCUUAAAGACUUAAUGCUUAUUGCUUAUCAGGGUUACCAGUUUUACUGAUUUUUCAGUAAAUCUACUGAUUUUAACUCUCUGAAAAACUUAUCCUGACCUACUGAAAUCUAUCAACCUAAUGGCCGAUAUUAACAGGUAAAUUUCUAUGAAAUGGUCUUUAAAAAUAUGAGAUUAUUUGGGCGCGUCCGUAUUAUAAAGAUGGCCGUAAAUACCAGGUCAUAAAUAAGGAAAUCUACAUAUAUAAUUGGUUUGGAGAUAUUUGAAACUGGCCGUUAGUACAGGUGGCCGAUUUUGACAGAUGGCCGUUAACACAUGUUUUACUGUGCGUAUUUGCAUGGUCUAAAAAAUCCACUGAUUUUUUGAAAGCAAGACUACUGAAAAAGUAAAAUCCGACCUGGCAACCCUGUUGCUUUAUAUCGACUCCAAACAAUUUCGUUUAUUUUAUAAGGUUAUAAGAUGAAAUUUUUCAUUUAUUGCAGGAGUGGCCAAGCUCCUUGAUAGCUAGAGCCACUUUUCACAAGUUAAAACUUUUCGCGAGCCGCAAUUAAAGACGUAUUGAAAAAGAAGGUAGGUAUGUACAAUGUUUUUUAACAGGACUUUUAUUUAUUGAAAACAAAUAAAAUUACGAAAUCUUAAAACUGAA
rnacentral:lncRNA from 1 species